UUCGUUCCGCUUUGGUAUUCCUCCCUGAAGGCCUGAACCGAUGAUCUCAAAACCCUGCAGUUCCGGGGAUCUGACACACGGGGAGAUUGAAGACGAUCCACAGGCAGAAGGCCAACGCAGCGCCGCACGACGCCACACCGGCGCUCCGUCGUCCACGGAGCCGCAGCUAGCAGGUGUGGAAUCUAUUCAGCGGAAGGGGUUAUAGUAUAAUCUUUUGAAGAGUCUGUUUGUGGCACCAAAUUGAUUUCGCCACUCGACUAGUGACACGCGACCAGCUCUAAUCUUGGAACGGCCAGGCUUUAUGUUUUAGUGCUGCAGCAUUUUCAUGGAGCAUAACAUAGCAAGUUGGGAUGGAUUUUCAUAGUUGGCUUCGGUCCCUUGAUGAUGCUGUUGGGUUUAGAUGCCCAAACCCAACAGAUGCUAGUGCCAAGAACACCAGGCUAGAAAGUUAUGGGAAAUUAUGUGUCUUAGGAUUGAUAGUUAUGUGCUUCGGUAGAACUGCUGAUGUGUUGAAAGUCAUUCACGAGACUAACAAGCAUCAUGGAUACUAUUGUGUCAUAUACUUUACUUUCUCGUUGUUAAUCAUGUUGAUGGGAUUAGUCACAGUUGCAUUUUCGAAGUCAGCACCACUGCAUAUGUUUGUUGCUGCUCUGGGAGCAUGGCAAGCAAUGGUUUUGGUUUCUUUGGUUGCUUUUUUGCACUUGGGUUUAGUUGAGUACCUCCCCUCACCUGAGAAUGCAAUAUACUUAAUGAUGGCAACUCCUGUCCCAUUUACUUUGUACUGGUGGUUUAGUGCAAGUGACCCAUGGAUUCUAUACAAAAUUGGGCGGUUGGUGAUGUUGAUCAUCAUGUUGCCUUACCAUGCUGUGUUCUGGCUUCAAUCAGUAGGAUACCAAGCCGGUAUUCGGAUUCAAGCAAAAGGGAUAAAUGCUGGUGUACAUGCUUGUAGAACAUUGGCACGCCACUUUCCUUGGUACCACUAGCCACUGUUUACAUGUCAAGCAAUUUCAUAAAUAAUGCAGACAAUUCUUGCUGAGUGAUGAAAAUAGUCCAGAUAGCUAGCGUGAAUACAAACUGGAGAGCGUAACCUACAUGGAGGACAUCCUGGUCAUCUCGCAGGUUGCUGGGGGACAACAAGAUGCCUCAGUUUUCCUGAUGCAGUUUAGUUAGAAUAGCAACAUAGAAGAUUCUUCUCAUAUCCCAUGAAACUAUAUGAUGUUCAUUCUCUUGUCUCCUUGGGCAGAGUCCCCAUGUUUUAUCUCAUCAGAUGGAUCUCUUAUCUCUCCAGCCAUUGAUAAUUGAUUGAUCUUUAACUGCGCAAUUUGACUAGCAACAGUAGUGUUUCUGUAGUUUCCAAAUUGAUGUUGAGCACUUGUUCUUGUUGGCACUUUGUAUAGUGGUUCAAAAUUCAAACACAAAUGGCUCAGAAGCAAAGUGUACUCCUUUUGGGUUGAAAUUA